rnacentral:rRNA from 1 species
GACGAACGCUGGCGGCGUGCCUAAUACAUGCAAGUAGAACGCUGAAGGAGGAGCUUGCUUCUCUGGAUGAGUUGCGAACGGGUGAGUAACGCGUAGGUAACCUGCCUGGUAGCGGGGGAUAACUAUUGGAAACGAUAGCUAAUACCGCAUAAUAGUAGAUGUUGCAUGACAUUUGCUUAAAAGGUGCAAUUGCAUCACUACCAGAUGGACCUGCGUUGUAUUAGCUAGUUGGUGGGGUAACGGCUCACCAAGGCGACGAUACAUAGCCGACCUGAGAGGGGGAUCGGCCACACUGGGACUGGGACACGGCCCAGACUCCUACGGGAGGCAGCAGUAGGGAAUCUUCGGCAAUGGACGGAAGUCUGACCGAGCAACGCCGCGUGAGUGAAGAAGGUUUUCGGAUCGUAAAGCUCUGUUGUAAGAGAAGAACGAGUGUGAGAGUGGAAAGUUCACACUGUGACGGUAUCUUACCAGAAAGGGACGGCUAACUACGUG